UACGGGAGGGUGCAAGCGUUAUCCGGAUUCACUGGGUUUAAAGGGUGCGUAGGUGGGUUGGUAAGUCAGUGGUGAAAUCUCCAGGCUUAACUUGGAAACUGCCAUUGAUACUAUCAAUCUUGAAUACCGUGGAGGUCAGCGGAAUAUGUCAUGUAGCGGUGAAAUGCUUAGAGAUGACAUAGAACACCAAUUGCGAAGGCAGCU
rnacentral:rRNA from 1 species